AGAACGAACGCUGGCGGCAGGCUUAACACAUGCAAGUCGAGCGCCCAGCAAUGGGAGCGGCGGACGGGUGCGUAACACGUGGGAACAUGCCUUUCGGUACGGAACAACUGCGGGAAACUGCAGCUAAUGCCGUAUACGCCCUUACGGGGAAAGAUUUAUCGCCGAAAGAUUGGCCCGCGUCUGAUUAGCUAGUUGGUGAGGUAACGGCUCACCAAGGCUUCGAUCAGUAGCUGGUUUGAGAGAACGACCAGCCACACUGGGACUGAGACACGGCCCAGACUCCUACGGGAGGCAGCAGUGGGGAAUCUUGGACAAUGGGCGAAAGCCUGAUCCAGCCAUGCCGCGUGAGUGAUGAAGGCCUUCGGGUUGUAAAACUCUUUUACCUGGGAAGAUAAUGACUGUACCAGGAGAAUAAGCCCCGGCUAACUUCGCGCCAGCAGCCGC
rnacentral:rRNA from 1 species